AUGAAUAAGGACCGGCUAAUUCCGUGCCAGCAGCCGCGGUAAUACGGAAGGUCCGGGCGUUAUCCGGAUUUAUUGGGUUUAAAGGGAGCGUAGGCCGUCUGUUAAGCGUGUUGUGAAAUGUCGGGGCUCAACCUGGGCAUUGCAGCGCGAACUGGCAGACUUGAGUGCGCAGGAAGUAGGCGGAAUUCGUCGUGUAGCGGUGAAAUGCUUAGAUAUGACGAAGAACUCCGAUUGCGAAGGCAGCCUGCUGUAGCGUAACUGACGCUGAAGCUCGAAAGCGUGGGUAUCGAACAGGAUUAGAUACCCUGGUAGUCCACGCGGUAAACGAUGGAUGCUCGCUGUUUGCGUCUGACGUAAGCGGCCAAGCGAAAGCGUUAAGCAUCCCACCUGGGGAGUACGCCGGCAACGGUGAAACUCAAAGGAAUUGACGGGGGCCCGCACAAGCGGAGGAACAUGUGGUUUAAUUCGAUGAUACGCGAGGAACCUUACCCGGGCUUGAAUUGCAGAGGAAGGAUUUGGAGACAAUGACGCCCUUCGGGGCCUCUGUGAAGGUGCUGCAUGGUUGUCGUCAGCUCGUGCCGUGAGGUGUCGGCUUAAGUGCCAUAACGAGCGCAACCCUUGUUCGUAGUUGCCAUCGGUUAAAGCCGGGCACUCUGCGAAGACUGCCUCCGUAAGGAGUGAGGAAGGUGGGGAUGACGUCAAAUCAGCACGGCCCUUACGUCCGGGGCUACACACGUGUUACAAUGGCAUGUACAGAAAGCAGGGUGUAUGCAAAUACGCUCGAAUCCCUAAAACAUGUCUCAGUUCGGACUGGGGUCUGCAACCCGACCCCACGAAGCUGGAUUCGCUAGUAAUCGCGCAUCAGCCAUGGCGCGGUGAAUACGUUCCCGGGCCUUGUACACACCGCCCGUCAAGCCAUGAAAGCCGGGGGCGCCU
rnacentral:rRNA from 1 species